UGGUCAUUUAGAGGAAGUAAAAGUCGUAACAAGGUUUCCGUAGGUGAACCUGCGGAAGGAUCAUUACCGAGAGAGGAGGCUUGACCUCCCGGGGUCCCUCACCCCCAUCUCUUUACCCUGUGCUUAAUUACCUUCGUUGCUUUGGCGGGCCUCGGGUCUUUCCCGCGUCGGUCGCACGGCCUCGGUGGCUUUAGCAGCCGGCGAGCGCCCGCCGGAGAACCUUUUUCUAAACCUGUUGCGUGAUGUCUGAGUCUCGAUACAAUAAGCAAAACUUUCAACAACGGAUCUCUUGGUUCCAGCAUCGAUGAAGAACGCAGCGAAAUGCGAUAAGUAAUGUGAAUUGCAGAAUUCAGUGAAUCAUCGAAUCUUUGAACGCACAUUGCGCCCCUCGGCAUUCCGGGGGGCAUGCCUGUUCGAGCGUCAUUGCAUCUCUCAAGCACGGCUUGGUAUUGGGUCUUCGCCCCCCGGGCGGUCCCGAAAAGCGUUGGCGGCUCGGCGCGGACUUCGAGCGUAGUAAAAUCUUCCCGCUCCGUCGACCGUGUCGGGGUCAGCCAUUCGACACCCAACCCCAUCAAUUGACCUCGGAUCAGGCAGGGAUACCCGCUGAACUUAAGCAUAUCA
rnacentral:rRNA from 1 species